rnacentral:rRNA from 1 species
ACACAUGCAAGUCGAACGGUAGAGGCGGCAACCCCUUGAGAGUGGCGAACGGGUGAGUAAUAUAUCGGAACGUGCCCAGUCGUGGGGGAUAACGUAGUGAAACUUACGCUAAUACCGCAUACGAUCUAAGGAUGAAAGCGGGGGAUCGCAAGACCUCGCGCGACUGGAGCGGCCGAUAUCAGAUUAGGUAGUUGGUAGGGUAAAGGCCUACCAAGCCAACGAUCUGUAGCUGGUCUGAGAGGACGACCAGCCACACUGGAACUGAGACACGGUCCAGACUCCUACGGGAGGCAGCAGUGGGGAAUUUUGGACAAUGGGCGAAAGCUCUGAUCCAGCCAUUCCGCGUGCAGGAUGAAGGCCCUCGGGUUGUAAACUGCUCUUGUACAGAACGAAAAGGUCUCUAUUAAUACUAGGGGCUCAUGACGGUACUGUAAGAAUAAGCACCGGCUAACUACGUGCCAGCAGCCGCGGUAAUACGUAGGGUGCAAGCGUUAAUCGGAAUUACUGGGCGUAAAGCGUGCGCAGGCGGUUAUAUAAGUCAGAUGUGAAAUCCCCGGGCUCAACCUCGGAACUGCAUUUGAGACUGUAUAGCUAGAGUACGGUAGAGGGGGAUGGAAUUCCGCGUGUAGCAGUGAAAUGCGUAGAUAUGCGGAGGAACACCGAUGGCGAAGGCAA